UACAGAGGUCUCAAGCGUUGUUCGGAAUCACUGGGCGUAAAGGGUGCGUAGGCGGGUCUUUAAGUCAGGGGUGAAAUCCUGGAGCUCAACUCCAGAACUGCCUUUGAUACUGAAGAUCUUGAGUUCGGGAGAGGUGAGUGGAACUGCGAGUGUAGAGGUGAAAUUCGUAGAUAUUCGCAAGAACACCAGUGGCGAAGGCGGCUCACUGGCCCGAUACUGACGCUGAGGCACGAAAGCGUGGGAGCCAAACAGGG
rnacentral:rRNA from 1 species